UACGUAGGGUGCAAGCGUUGUCCGGAAUUAUUGGGCGUAAAGAGCUCGUAGGCGGCUUGUCGCGUCGACUGUGAAAUCCCGCGGCUCAACUGCGGGUCUGCAGUCGAUACGGGCAGGCUAGAGUUCGGUAGGGGAGACUGGAAUUCCUGGUGUAGCGGUGAAAUGCGCAGAUAUCAGGAGGAACACCGGUGGCGAAGGCGGGUCUCUGGGCCGAUACUGACGCUGAGGAGCGAAAGCGUGGGGAGCGAACAGG
rnacentral:rRNA from 1 species